rnacentral:rRNA from 1 species
UACAGAGGGUGCAAGCGUUAAUCGGAAUUACUGGGCGUAAAGAGUGCGUAGGUGGUUGGAUAAGUUAGGUGUGAAAUCCCUGGGCUCAACCUAGGAACUGCGCUUAAAACUGUUCGGCUAGAGUAUUGUAGAGGAUAGUGGAAUUUCCAGUGUAGCGGUGAAAUGCGUAGAUAUUGGAAGGAACACCAGUGGCGAAGGCGACUAUCUGGGCAAAUACUGACACUGAGGCACGAAAGCUAGGGGAGCAAACAGG